UACGAAGGGGGCUAGCGUUGUUCGGAAUUACUGGGCGUAAAGGGCGCGUAGGCGGCUCUGAUCGUCGGAUGUGAAAGGCCUGGGCUCAACCUGGGAAUGGCAUCCGAUACUGCGGGGCUAGAGUGCAGAAGGGGCAACUGGAAUUCUCGGUGUAGCGGUGAAAUGCGUAGAUAUCGAGAGGAACACCUGCGGCGAAGACGGGUUGCUGGGCCGACACUGACGCUGAGUGCGCGAAAGCCAGGGGAGCAAACGGG
rnacentral:rRNA from 1 species